AAAACUGUCACAAUGUUCUCCAACGUGGAGAUGCAGCACAAAAGGAUUUCACUGGCAUUAAAGAGAAUGAAUCCCAGGAUUCUAAAAAUGGCUGAACGAGACCCUUGGAUCCAUUAACUGCUAACUACCAAACUCACAAUAUGAACUGUAUGGCUUCUUCGCCUUCUUAACCAGUCUUACAUUCUUAUAUUUCAUUUAUUUUCAGUCUGGAAUAUGUAGUUCUGCAAUUUUUUUCU